GACGAACGCUGGCGGCGUGCUUAACACAUGCAAGUCGAACGGAGUGGCGAACGGGCAAGUAACACGUGGGUAACCUGCCCUGCACUUCGGGAUAAGCCUGGGAAACUGGGUCUAAUACCGGAUAGUGUGGGCUGGGCCCGCGGCCUAUCAGCUUGUGGGUGGGGUAAUGGCCUACAUAGGCGGCGACUGGUCGGCGGCCUGAGAGGGUUGACGGGCACAUUGGGACAGGGGUAAUGCACAGACUCCUACGGGAGGCAGGAGUGGGGAUUGUUGCGCAAUGGGCGGACUGCUGAGGGAGCGACGCCGCGUGGGGGAUGGCGGCCGUCGGGUUGUAAUCGCCUGUCACCAUCGUCGCGGGAGAUGGAGAAGAAGCCCCGGCUAACUACGUGCCAGCAGCCGCGGUAAUUC
rnacentral:rRNA from 1 species